rnacentral:rRNA from 1 species
CCGUAGUAACAGACACGACAAGCAACAGCUGAGAUGGAAGGAGGAGGAAAAAAAAAAAAGAAGGGGUGAUUAGUGGCGAACGGGUGAGUAACACGUGAGUAACCUGCCCCCGACUCUGGGAUAAGCCCGGGAAACUGGGUCUAAUACUGGAUAUGCACCGUAGGCCGCAUGGCUUUUGGUGGAAAGAUUUUUCGGUUGGGGAUGGACUCGCGGCCUAUCAGCUUGUUGGUGAGGUAAUGGCUCACCAAGGCGACGACGGGUAGCCGGCCUGAGAGGGUGACCGGCCACACUGGGACUGAGACACGGCCCAGACUCCUACGGGAGGCAGCAGUGGGGAAUAUUGCACAAUGGGCGAAAGCCUGAUGCAGCGACGCCGCGUGAGGGAUGACGGCCUUCGGGUUGUAAACCUCUUUCAGUAGGGAAGAAGCGAAAGUGACGGUACCUGCAGAAGAAGCGCCGGCUAACUACGUGCCAGCAGCCGCGGUAAUACGUAGGGCGCAAGCGUUAUCCGGAAUUAUUGGGCGUAAAGAGCUCGUAGGCGGUUUGUCGCGUCUGCCGUGAAAGUCCGAGGCUCAACCUCGGAUCUGCGGUGGGUACGGGCAGACUAGAGUGAUGUAGGGGAGACUGGAAUUCCUGGUGUAGCGGUGAAAUGCGCAGAUAUCAGGAGGAACACCGAUGGCGAAGGCAGGUCUCUGGGCAUUAACUGACGCUGAGGAGCGAAAGCAUGGGGAGCGAACAGGAUUAGAUACCCUGGUAGUCCAUGCCGUAAACGUUGGGCACUAGGUGUGGGGGUACAUUCCACGUUUUCCGCGCCGUAGCUAACGCAUUAAGUGCCCCGCCUGGGGAGUACGGCCGCAAGGCUAAAACUCAAAGGAAUUGACGGGGGCCCGCACAAGCGGCGGAGCAUGCGGAUUAAUUCGAUGCAACGCGAAGAACCUUACCAAGGCUUGACAUGUGCCAGACCGCCGUGGAAACACGGUUUCCCCUUUGGGGCUGGUUCACAGGUGGUGCAUGGUUGUCGUCAGCUCGUGUCGUGAGAUGUUGGGUUAAGUCCCGCAACGAGCGCAACCCUCGUUCUAUGUUGCCAGCGGGUCAUGCCGGGGACUCAUAGGAGACUGCCGGGGUCAACUCGGAGGAAGGUGGGGACGACGUCAAAUCAUCAUGCCCCUUAUGUCUUGGGCUUCACGCAUGCUACAAUGGCCGGUACAAUGGGUUGCGAUACUGUGAGGUGGAGCUAAUCCCAAAAAGCCGGUCUCAGUUCGGAUUGGGGUCUGCAACUCGACCCCAUGAAGUCGGAGUCGCUAGUAAUCGCAGAUCAGCAACGCUGCGGUGAAUACGUUCCCGGGCCUUGUACACACCGCCCGUCAAGUCACGAAAGUUGGUAACACCCGAAGCUCUUUUUUUAUUUUCUUUGGGUUUUUUUCCUUCUCCUUCGCGUGCGUCGUUCCCAGC